rnacentral:pre_miRNA from 1 species
AGGGGGAGCGCAGGAUAAUGGGCUGUGUCCCCGGCGCCCUGGGCUCUGGGGCCUGCGCUGCUGGAAUCGCGCAACUGGGGCUGCGCAGCCCCCU